rnacentral:rRNA from 1 species
UUCGUCAAAGUUCUCCUUUGACUUAGUGGCGGACGGGUGAGUAAUGCGUGAGCAACCAGCCUUUCAGAGGGGGACAACAGUUGGAAACGGCUGCUAAUACCGCAUGAAGCUGUUUGGGGCAUCCCGAACAGCCAAAGAUUUAUCGCUGAAAGAUGGGCUCACGUCUGAUUAGCUAGAUGGUGGGGUAACGGCCUACCAUGGCUGCGAUCAGUAGCCGGACUGAGAGGUUGAACGGCCACAUUGGGACUGAGAUACGGCCCAGACUCC